UACAGAGGGGGCAAGCGUUGUUCGGAAUUACUGGGCGUAAAGGGCGCGUAGGCGGCCUGCUAAGUCGAACGUGAAAUCCCUGGGCUCAACCCAGGAACUGCGUCCGAUACUGGUUGGCUUGAAUCCGGGAGAGGGAUGCGGAAUUCCAGGUGUAGCGGUGAAAUGCGUAGAUAUUGGGAGGAACACCGGUGGCGAAGGCGGCCCCCUGGACCGGUACUGACGCUGAUGCGCGAAAGCGUGGGUAGCAAACGGG
rnacentral:rRNA from 1 species